rnacentral:rRNA from 1 species
UUCUGUUGAGAGCGACCGGUCCAUACCAUGUAUGCGUNUCUGGCUUGCUCUCGGCAUNCUCUCGAUAGACGUUGCUGCGCUUGAUUGCGCGGCGCGGAUCUCGGGACUUUUACUNUGAGGAAANUAGAGUGUUCACGGCAGGCUUUCGCCAGAAUACAUUANCAUGGAAUAAUACUAUNGGAUCUUGGNUCUAUUUUGGUGGUNUNUAGAAUUGAGAUAAUGAUUAAUAGGGACAAUNGGGGGCAUUCGUAUCAACACGUCAGAGGNGGAAUUCUUGGAUUGUGUUGCGACGAACUACUGCAGAAAGCAUUUGCCAAGGAUGUUUUCAUUGAUCAAGAACGAAAGUAAGGGGANCGAAGACGAUUAGAUACCGUCGUANUCUUUACCAUAAACCUAUGCCGACUANAGAUGGGGCAUCGUCCAUUUACGACUUGCUCCGCACCUUAUGAGAUAUCAAAGNUCUUGGGNUCCGGGGGGAGU